UACGGAGGGGGUUAGCGUUGUUCGGAAUUACUGGGCGUAAAGCGCGCGUAGGCGGGCUGUUAAGUCGGGGGUGAAAUCCCCGGGGCUCAACCCCGGAACGGCCCUCGAUACUGGCAGCCUAGAGUUCGAGAGAGGUGAGUGGAAUUCCGAGUGUAGAGGUGAAAUUCGUAGAUAUUCGGAGGAACACCAGUGGCGAAAGGCGGCUCACUGGCUCGAUACUGACGCUGAGGUGCGAAAAGCGUGGGGGAGCAAAACAGG
rnacentral:rRNA from 1 species